AAUAUGCUUUGCUCUUUUCCGCCAAACUUACAAACACAUGUGAGAUGCUGGUGGAGGUUGAUUUACCAAAGUCGUUUUCAAGAAAGAAAGGAAGAUCAGUCAUCAAAGUGGGCUCUUCUCCAGUGACUCUGAGGCCUUAAAAAUUCAAGCCGCUCUGGUCUCCAGAUGGGCAGCUGGCAGCAUGGUGCCCUUGUCUCUUGCCAAGACGAGAGCCCAACAGGCUGAUAAGCUGAGGGGGGAGAGCUCUAAAACCAAGAGACUGUACAGACAGAGAAAACUGAAAGAGAGAAGAAGACUACACAGAACACAGCAUCCGUUCGUAAUGUCUCAUGUGGCCCUUGAGACGUUUUCCAAGUUUGAGUUGCUUGUUUGGAGUCCAUGUUGACAGCUUGCUGUGGGCAGAUAUUAAGGCAUGUUCCCAAAAUCCAUUAGGGGGCAUCCAUCCCAAAGCUGCUUGGCUAGGUUCUCUUAGGACUUCAAGAUGGAACAUGUUCUUUGAAAGGCAAGAAUGCAAAGCAGUGGCAGGGUAGAACAGCGAACCCAUUAAAAUUAAUGCCCUUGAGGUAUCUGCCCAGAUCUGCUGCUAUUAAGGAAAUAACUUCAAUAGGAGAAGGUAACAGCCGCUCAACCUGAGUGUCCAUUGAGCUGUUUAGAUGUGUGGUUCCCAGGAUUCACUGCUGACCUGAAUUGAAUGAAUACACCCAAACUGGCAUUAGCAUCAUUUGCAUAAGUGAUAUAAACAUCGAUGCCAGCUCCACUCCUGGAGAUGCUGGUGGAGUAGGACUGAGAACACAUACCUUUAAAGCUCUCCAUAGCAUUCAAGGCCCAGCUGGGUUUGGGAACUUCUUGUGUCCAUUUAAUUAACAUGGUCCAAGAGCAGCCCACGAACAGAGCAACCCAGAAGCAGCAUUCCAACUCUCCAGUGAAUUUCUUGACCUUGAGAAAUGCUUCAGGUAGUGAGUUAAACAUAGAAAUAUUCAUGUGCUUACACACAUACACACACGUAACAGUGAUAGAAAAACUCUAGAUUUGAUUCACCCAGUUGCUGGCCAAAUUCUUUCCAUCCACUAAACUUCCUCAGAGCCCUUUGAAGUCAGCAAUUACUUUGUUCUCAGAGGAGUCAUUCUGUGGCGAGGAAAAUGUUGAAAGUUUGGCAAAUGUAUUAGGACUUUCCAAAUGUGGGUCGUUUCAAAAUAUUUAUCUGUAUGUUGUUUAUCCUUUUUUAGUACUUAGACUUCAUUCUUUCUAAUAACCAGAGGACAAUCUAUUGCUCUUAGUCACCUGGAAUGCAUCAUAAAGACAGUACCUUUGCCAGUGGUGGUAACAAAAGGCAACUACCCUAAAUGAUUUCCUUCUGAAUCCCCCCCAUGCCCCCCCGAGUUCUCUUUCAGAAGCACAGGUUAAGUAACUGAAUAGAGCUCUUCGCAUUGUGCCCGCAACAGAAUCAUUUCUCAGUAAAUAUGAGCUAUGAUUUCCAUUAUUCUCUUUUCAUUAACUCAUCACCCAGCCUCACUCUUACAGACAAGGUUACCAUCAAAAUCCUAAGUGAAUAUUUUAUACACUCCCUAUGCCCAGCUUUUAAAAUGACUGCUCUCGACCUCCUGUUUGAUCCCAUGUGUUUGUCCCUGCCACUUACAGAGUGAGAAAUCUUUGAGUAACAUCUCCACUGAUAGUUGAAAUAUGUGGAUUUUUUUUUUAAAUGUUCUCUUAGAUUUCCCCCUCUGCAGGAAACCACAAAUCCGAAUGUAGAUUUCCUGUAUGGCUGCAGAAUCUCAUGAUGCAGGGAUUUCACUUUUUAAUGGCCCCUUCUCUGUGCAGAUGGUCCAGACAGCGACACUCACUGUUGUGUCUGAAAGUACACUGACUCACAACUCCAAGCAUCCACUUCUACCUCUCCAUCUCUGCUGCAUGGUACUGGCUCCGCCUGGCCCUCCGUCUCCAAAGGCUAUUGAGUCGCUGGAACCUACCCAGUCUGGGUCCCAGUUAGUACCCUCUGUGGGUUUUUUUAACUAGGUAAUGGAUUAAGUGUUGAUAUUUAUAGGUGCUUUAUUGAUAACCCAGGGGAUAAGAUAGCUUUGGUGUCUCUCAAACCAUCUAUGUUCCGUCAGUGAAUGCUUCCACUGGAUUCCCUCACUGUAGCACCUUAUCAAUCAGGUGCUGCCCAUCACAGGGAAAUUCAAAAAGCCAGAGCUUGUCUGUGUCAGAGGCUUUUGAAGUCAUAGGCAAAUGACAUGACACAAUAGGGACAGUUUUAAUCUGUUUUCAUUUUACUGUCCUUUAACCCCCUCCUUUCUCUCUCUCUCUCUCUCCCUCUCUCUCUCUCUCUCUCUCUCUCUCUCUCUCUCUCUCUCUCUCACACACACACACACACACACACACACACACACACACAGAGCUUCUGUUUUUCCAAGGGCCUUUGAAAUUUUCCUUGGCUCGUAUUCCUCAGGCCAAUGGACAGGAAAUGAGAACUGGAUAGGAAAGGCACUGAAAACAUCUUCUAUAAAUUUUUGGUUGUGCAGGGUCUGAUCAUUUUCCCAUUUAAAAUGUUUUAAAAAUAGAUUUACCAGAGAUAUUGCUUAAUCUAGAAGGACUGCCAUUCUUUAAUAUUUGUACAUGGUUAUUCUUAUCACUGCCAAUUAAAAUCGCCAUAUUAAGAGCUCUCUUGAGUAGUGGCUUUCAUUUGAUCAUCUGAAAAGUUUAGAGAGUAUUGAGAUAAAUUUCCCUGCAUUGUAAUUCCAGGGAUGGCACUCUAAGGACAGGCCUAUCCUGUUGAAGGAACAUGUCCCAUAGAUUUACAGUAUUUGAAGGGAAAACUUUUCUUAACUCUUAAAUCAAUUACUCUUUUAACUACACUUACUGUAAAGAAAUGGUGUCAAGUGAUUUACUCUAAACACAGACAGUAACCCUUCUAAUUCCACUGAAGAUUUUAAGAUUUCUAAGUUCCCUGUCUUCUUUAUCAUGUAUGCAUCUGCUUCCCAAUCUAUAUGAAAAUGGAAAAAAAUAAAAUAAAAACAAUAUAGUGAGUUGUUAUUUGUUUUGUUCCAAAAAGAUCUGCUCUCCAGUUUGAGAUUUUUUUUCCUACUCCCUGUUCUGGUGUUCAAAUAGCCUUCCUUUUUUGAAGUUCCUGAAGCACUGAACGACAGGUUUUUGUUUGUUGUCCUCACUUGACAAAAUGAAAAGUUGACCCUUUCAUAUGGGUCCCCAAAUUUAAUUUUGAAAUUUUACCUUUUUAAGGAAAUUCAAAACUCCUGGAAGCAGCACUUUGCCUUCCAUGGCAGAACACCCCUCUCAGUGCCACACCUGGGGUUGCAAUAAGCCAGAUCACAAAGGGAUGGCUGCUGGAGACUUUGCUGCUAAAACUUGAAAAAUAGAUUAGGUGGUUGUUGCUGGUGUCCCAGAGGUCAUAAUUCUUCUUCAGAUAUUUCAAAAGGGUCAGGUAAUUAAGUCAAUAAUCCCUGUUGUUAUAAAUACUGGAUGUGGCAUUGUUCAUUUAUUGCCUUCUCAGAGCCAUGAUAUCGACUUACACAGAAUGACUUGGGGGAAGUCCUGGUAUUGAAGGCUCUAGAGAGAAACUAGGAUCAAAGACUCCUAGAUUAAAGGGUUGAUUUAGGAUACAUGUUAAAAGGCAUAAUGUGAACAACACACUUAUUACAAACAAGACAUCCCAGUCUUACCUACUGUUCUCUCCGGUGACGGGCAUUUCACUUCCUGUGAAAACAAAACAAAAAUGGAAACAUAAACGAGUGAAGUAAAUUGUUACUUGGGCAAUGAACAUAAAAGCACUUGUAUUUAGAUACCUUUAAUUUACAUUUCAAAUGACGUUUAAUAAAGUUAAGGCCACACAGGAAGAAAAAAAUGUGACUUCUAAAUACAUACAUAUUUGCAUAGUCCAUUCGAUAAAUGUGCACAUAUGUUUUACAAGCCUAAAAAGGUUCACUUAUCUAUCUGUUGUAUUUUGAGAUCGUAAUAUUUAGAGUCUAUAUCUGGCCUCUUUUAAGAAACUCAGAGUAGAGUUUAAGCAGCUCGAUGGUCCCACUUCAUAAACCACAGACAUCCAAAUUAGGAUGGUCUCAUGGGCUCAAAGACAGAGAUAAAUCACUAUGUGGUCAAAGAAGAAUUUUAAUAAAACAUGAAAAUACAAGCUAUACCAACUGUGCAGUAUUUCUGCAGACUACUGCUUCUCAAUGUCAUCUCAUGUGUGACAACUGCUGUGGCCAAGGGCUGGUGGAAAACUUAUGAAAAAAAAAAAAAAACAAAAACCCAAAAACGUAUGCAGAAUCGUGGAGUUUUAAACCUAUCUGCCAAAUUGACCUAGAAAGACCAUUUCAUAGAACACUGGCCUUAACCAAGUCUCCACGCUCCCACUUAUAUCCUGGGCAAUCUGCCAACCUUACUACCUCUUUCCAGCAGCCCUGGGUGGGUAUUUGUGUUCAGCUUCUGAUGGAAGGCUCAGUCCUCAAACCUCUGUUGUCUCCCUUACCUUUGAAGUCAAUAUGCUCUGUUCUUUUCCACAUUCAACUUUUAUUUUUGGUUCAAUAACAUAUGAAGUUUUGUCCAUAACGGGACCACAGACUUAGAGCUUGUGGGCCAAAUCCAGCCUUCCCUCUGAUCCUGUAAAUAAGAUGUUAUUGGAUCACAUCCAUUGGCCGUUGGUUUAGGCACUGUCUAUGGAUGCCACAACGGCUGAAUAGUUGCUGCAGAUAUGGCUUGGACCACAAAGCUUAAAAUAUUUACCAUCUGGCCCUUGAUUGAAAAUGUUUGCCGACUUUGGCCUCCAAAGAGGAAAACACAUGUUGUGGGAGGGGAUUAUCUGUCUACAUGGGCUUGGGUGCUAGUUCCCUAUCACAGAAACAUUUCACAAGAAUUUUUUUCAUUUGAAAUCAUUGCUUUUCAACUCACUGAGGAAAAAAAAAAAAAAUCUGUGCAAAGAGAGAGAUACCUGCCCCUUUUUCCUACCACUUCAGUUUUUACUUUAGUCUUCACAGAUUCACCAUAUUUGCUUGGAGAAGGGGAACUAUUGGGGGCAGGUGUUUGGCAAAACUAGAGAAAAGCGAACACACCCUUGUCUUUCCACCACCCCUGAUUUCCUGCCUUGCCCUGCCCUGCCCUGCCCUGCCUUCUGUGCUUCUGCUUCUUUCUUGGCAUGUUCUAGAUCAUUCCCAGAUCCCUCCUUUAUUUGGGUCAGCCCUCAAUUUCCACUGGAGUCUUAACUGAUAGUAACAUUAGUGUCAUUCUUCCCAAAUGUCCCCAAUAUAAAUAUCUUUGACAUAUAUAUAUUUAACGUGAAUUUCUGAAGUUGAGGGAUUAGAGCAAAAUCAGAGCUUGCCAAUCAGGGGGCUGAGGGUACGGGUUACUGUCAAGUCAAAGUUUGGCUAUCCACUGGGAAGACCUUGGGCCAGUUGCUUUCCAAUGGCCAGUGGUCACUCAAAAGGCAAGAAGCUUCCCCUGGUGUGAUACACCAACUUUAUAUUUGUCUAUUAAGUUAUAAAAUGGAAGGGAUCUGGAAGCACCCACCCCUAGGAAGAAAUCAUCAUGCAUUGCACUCAUCUUACAGGGGGAACAAAUCCUGGGAAAUCAGAGUUAAUGAUGACCACUUUAUAUUUCCUAGAGAGUUAAAAGUUGGAAGACUCUGCUUGUAAGUAGAUUAGUCAUCUUAAUUAGAUAAAAUUAGGUGGAGUUCAACUUUAGGUCAAUCUCAAUCUCAAUCAAGAAUAAAAUGAAGGGAGUUCCCUUUGUGGUGCAGCGGAAAUGAAUCCGACUAGUAUACAUGAGGAUGCAGGCUCAAUCGCUGGCCUCACUCACUGGGUCAGGGAUCUGACAUUGCCGUGAACUGUGGUGUAGGUUGAAGAUACGGCUUGGAUCUGGAGUUGCUAUGGCUGU
rnacentral:lncRNA from 1 species